rnacentral:lncRNA from 1 species
ACUGCCCAAAUCCAAGAUGGCUACCAGGAGGCCGUCAGUUCUCGGAAGUGCGGCACAUCCUCACUCCUGGGAGGCUCAAAGGCUCAAACGCCAUUGGCAGAAUCCCCGACAGCUCAUCCUCCGCCCCCUGCAGGGGGCGGUAAUGACAGAGUCCUAAUUUCCGGUUCCGGCAGUACCGGUAGCCCAGUCGAGAUGGAGGAAGAUGCGACCGGCAGACGGCAUUCGCUGGGAACGACGGAUAGACUGGGGGCUGCGGCCUAGAGGUCCGGGCUUGGAGUUCGCCUCAGACGCGGUGGAGCCGCCGGAGUCUGAGAAGAGCAGCUCUCCUACCUGUGUCCUAAGGAGUGCCCUCACAUUGUCUUUCAAGCUGUCUCGGGGCCCCUGGCUGCAGCCACUGCCUCCAUCCUCACCAAUCCCAUGGAUGUCAUACGAACCCGUGUGCAGGUUGAGGGCAAGAACUCCAUCAUCCUGACCUUCAGACAGCUGAUGGCAGAAGAAGGGCCUUGGGGCCUCAUGAAGGGCCUCUCGGCCAGAAUCAUCUCAGCCACACCUUCCACCAUUGUCAUUGUGGUGGGCUAUGAGAGCCUCAAGAAACUCAGCCUCCGACCUGAGCUGGUGGACUCGAGACACUGGUAACCAGUGGUGGGGAGAGAAGCCUGCUGUUUUCCACACUACCGUGGGUCAGGGGCAGAGUGGAGAGGACAGCACCCUCUCCAGGUGCUCCCACCACACACCCAGCCCUGCCCUGGGCCAAGUGGCCUAUCUGGGAUAGGGAUAGAGACUUUGAACUGCUCUUGCUGAAGAGGCUCCACGCCUGGAUCCCUUGCCCCCACUAUUUAAAAUUCUCUUCUGAGCUGGGCUCCCUCACUCAGUCCCUGUAUUUGAUACUGGCCUAAAGACCCCACCCCCCACCCUGCCAGCCCUUCUUCUGGCUUCCCCUUCCAUCUGUGUCCCUGAGACCCUGAGAAGAGCUGUACAUAGAGCUUGCUUACUACCACUGGUUCUUCCUCUUGGGCUUUCAGCCCAGACUCCAAGCAGCUGCUAUCAACCCUCUCUCCCUUCAUCUCUUAGCCUUGCUUAUUUUUAUUUUGGGACCGAGCUGCCCACUAGAUGACUCUGCUUUUCCCUGCAUUUGGGGCUAAGGUGCCAGGUACUUAUUUGCACAGGGAGCAGGAGCAGCAAAAAAUCUCUGGUUCUCCAGAGCACUCGUCCUCUCUUUGGAGGGGUUAUUAGGUUGGGAGAAAUGUUGAUACUUUUGUUUUGUGUGUGUGUGUGUGUGUGUGUGUGUGUGUGUGUGUGUGUGUGUUUUAACAUCUGUGAACCAGGCUAUUAGUCCUGCUAAAGCGCCAAUCCUGCUGUCAGAGCUCACCCCCUUCCUAAGACAGGUAGAAAAAUGUAAUGUAGCUUUUUCCACAAGCCACUUCCCUGUCCCUUCAGUCUCAGGAGCCCUAGGAGAGUCUAAGCUGGGGCAUCCCCUGGCCCAGAGGACUCCCGUGGUGGGCACAGUUCUAAGUGGAUCAGGCUGUCUUGGGUGCACUGGACUUGGAGCACUACCUUGAGAAGUCAGGUUGAGAAAGUAGUUGAUCUAGAAGGCAACAAGUGGGCAUGUGUUCCCCAGCACAUUACCCAGGCCAGCAGAGCCAAACCUAGGAGAGGGCAGUGGGUAGAUUCUCUGCCCCAGGCAGCCAUGACAUACACAUAAAUACCCCAAUCACUCAGACUUACGGCAACAAGUGUUGUCUCACUAUGGUGAUCUCUAAGAUCCACAUCACUGGAUGCGUAGUCAUCCCAGUCAUGGUACCCUGUGGAGGAAUGCUGGAAGAACAUAAAGAGCAGUUCAGAAAGUCACCCAAUACCAGGACCACUGCAUUUACCAGCCUGAUACUGCCAAGAUUAUCUGAUGCUCUCCUCAGGAGCUAGGAGAGGAGUGCUCCUUCCUCCCUACCGCUACUCUCCCCAAGCCUGUGUUGCAGGUAGAGAGGUGCAGCAAAUAGAGAAGGCAUGUCAAACCCUGCAUUUCUACCUGAGACGUGUGACCUGGAUGAUCCUCCAAACCCUAUUGGUCCCACCCCCUGGGAAAGGCCAUGGUGCCAGUUUGAAAGGUGCUAGCUACCUGAAGCCUUGAUAUUUCUUCAUGGCUGCCGCACAUUCUUCCACCUUGGCCAGAACAGGUUCUGAAAACCACUUCUCUACCUUCACCACCACCACUGCCCAUCUUGAUCUCUUUGAGGGUUUUCCCAUUUCACUUGAUCUUAUUUUUGUUUAUCCCUUCCUGCACUUUGUCAAGAGAGUCCUCCAGUUUCUAUCCAGGAAUGUUCACAUCCAAAGGGUUGGACCCACGGAUCAUUCUGAAUCUUCCUGCCCCUCCUCACUGCUUAACCCUGAGAACCACAAAUAUAAUGGAAGCAGUUCCCCCCACCCUCACCCCAUCUCUUUAAGCUCAUCCUAGCAAGACCUCUAGAGACCCUAGAGACUCGACUUUAGUCCUUCCCCGCCAUGGCACAGUGGGGAAGGUGUCAAUGGGGAGUGUCACGGACAGGAGGUAGGAUCCUGCCGCUCGCGUCUUAGUGUUUCUCCCUCAAGACUUUCCUUCUGUUUUGUUGUCUUGUGCAGUAUUUUACAGCCCCUCUUGUGUUUUUCUUUAUUUCUCGUACACACACGCAGUUUUAAGGGUGAUGUGUGUAUAAUUAAAAGGACCCUUGGCCCAUACUUUCCUAAUUCUUUAGGGACUGGGAUUGGGUUUGACUGAAAUAUGUUUUGGUGGGGAUGGGACGGUGGACUUCCAUUCUCCCUAAACUGGAGUUUUGGUCGGUAAUCAAAACUAAAAGAAACCUCUGGGAGACUGGAAACCUGAUUGGAGCACUGAGGAACAAGGGAAUGAAAAGGCAGACUCUCUGAACGUUUGAUGAAAUGGACUCUUGUGAAAAUUAACAGUGAAUAUUCACUGUUGCACUGUACGAAGUCUCUGAAAUGUAAUUAAAAGUUUUUAUUGAGCCCCCGA